rnacentral:rRNA from 1 species
UACGGAGGGUGCAAACGUUGCUCGGAAUCAUUGGGCGUAAAGCGCACGUAGGCGGCCUGAUAAGUCGGGUGUGAAAGCCCUGGGCUCAACCCAGGAAGUGCACUCGAAACUGUCAGGCUUGAAUAUGGAAGAGGGUCGCGGAAUUCCCGGUGUAGAGGUGAAAUUCGUAGAUAUCGGGAGGAACACCAGCGGCGCAGGCGGCGCUCUGGACGCACACUGACGCUGAGACACGAAAGCGUGGGGAGCAAACAGG